rnacentral:lncRNA from 1 species
UUCCUGCCAGAAUAUACAUAGGAAAAACAAAAGACCUAAAGAAAAUGAAAGAGUAGUGAGGACUAUCUUAGAGCUAGACUUUAUAGAAACAUGUGAUUAUAGUUUAAAUAUUUUUCUUUUUCAGUUUGACAUUCUUCAUGGUCAACAUGAAAAUGAAAUGGAACAAAUAUCAGGAGAUAUAAAGGAAGAAUUGAUUUCUCAAAACAACAAUGAUAAACUCAUCUGUGAGUUAGGAUCAGAGCUACAGAGAUUGCAAGCUGAAAAUUCUUCAGGGUGGGACAACACAGAAUUAAUUGAAACAGAAAAACAAGGACUAGAGAGAGAAAACAGAAGACUAAAAGUCCAGUUGAACGAAAUAGAAGAGCUCCUGGAAAGGAAAAACAGAUUAGGUGUAAACUUUCAAAGUCCUGAUGUCAAGACAUCACAAAUUGAAUUGCAAGAAAAGAACAAUGCAUGGUGUUCCUGGAAGCAUCUGUUCUCUUACUGUGUAUUUCCUUCUGAUGCUUAGGUGGGUGCUGCUUUCUCCCUGGUCCACCUCCACAUCUGAAUAUAUCUCUUUGUGCUAAUAUCUGACAGCUUGCUCUUUUCCUGUUUUAAUAAAUGUAAUGUUGCUUAUGUAUCUGAAAUAGAGUGUAACAAAUUUUGGAUGAAAAUGUGAAAAUAUGACAAAGGAAGACAAGAUGCAUCUUGUUUUGCUUUCCAUUAUAGCGUUGUGUGAGUAUUUUCUAAGCUAUUGAGCUUAUUUUCAAUAAAUGUGCUUAUCUACUAAUUUGAGCAUCUCUACAACAGCAUUUAUUGGUACCUAUGAUAAGUAUUUGCAUAAACAUUUAAAUUUACCUGAGGCUUACUGUUCUCUGAUUCCAUUUUUUGUCUCAGAAUGAUUAUUUUGAUAGGGGCCAGAGAUUUAACUCAGUGGCAUGGCGCCUGUCUCCCAAGAGAAAGGCCCUGAGUUCGAUCCCUGGUACCACAAAAAACAAAAAACAACAAAAAAGAAAAACAAUAACCCCCCCAAGAAUCAUUAUUUUUAGUCAAUUAAAUGCAACUUUUUUUCAAAGAGCUCUUUUAACCAUAAUGUGAAAACCAGGAUUAAAUUCAAAAAUUUAACUUUGGCAAAUUUAGAUUGUCUGGAUGUUUUUCCUUUAAGCCAAUAGAGAUGGGGCCUAUAGAAAGGAACGUUUUUUUCUUUUUAUAAAUAAUUUGCAGACUUUUAAAUGUACUUUCAGUGAUAGACAAAACUAUAAUUUGUGUGGUUUACUAUAAAUAUGCUACAAUAUAUAUGCAGCUUGCUUACAAAUUCUUCCAUUAAAGUAUCUAUAGUAUCUAAAUGUAUGAUUCAAUUUUCUAUUCAAAUUCUUUUAAAAACUUUAAAAGUGACUGAAAAUUUCAUGGUUGUAAAUUAUAUAAGUUGUUCAUACUCUUACAAACUCUAAG